UACGUAGGGUCCGAGCGUUGUCCGGAAUUACUGGGCGUAAAGAGCUCGUAGGUGGUUUGUCGCGUUGUUCGUGAAAACUCACAGCUCAACUGUGGGCGUGCGGGCGAUACGGGCAGACUAGAGUACUGCAGGGGAGACUGGAAUUCCUGGUGUAGCGGUGGAAUGCGCAGAUAUCAGGAGGAACACCGGUGGCGAAGGCGGGUCUCUGGGCCGAUAUCGACGCUGAGGAGCGAAAGCGUGGGGAGCGAACAGG
rnacentral:rRNA from 1 species